GUUGUAUGGUUAAGUGACUAAGCGUACACGGUGGAUGCCUAGGCAGUCAGAGGCGAUGAAGGACGUAUUAACUUGCGAUAAGCGUAGAUGAGGCAGUAAAAGCCACUCGAGUCUACGAUUUCCGAAUGGGGAAACCCAAGUGCAUAAGCACUUAUCGCUGCGUGAAUACAUAGCGCAGCGAGGCAAACCGGGGGAACUGAAACAUCUAAGUACCCCGAGGAGAAGAAAUCAACCGAGAUUCCGAAAGUAGCGGCGAGCGAAAUUGGAUUAGCCCUUAAGCUUUAUUGGUGUCAGGCGAAGUGCUCUGGAAAGGCACGCGAUACCGGGUGAUAGCCCCGUAGCCGUUAACGCCAGUAAAGUGAAAUCGAGUAGGGCGGGACACGUGAUAUCCUGUCUGAAUAUGGGGGGACCAUCCUCCAAGGCUAAAUACUCCUGACUGACCGAUAGUGAACCAGUACCGUGAGGGAAAGGCGAAAAGAACCCCUGUGAGGGGAGUGAAAUAGAACCUGAAACCGUGUACGUACAAGCAGUAGGAGCCUCUUUAAUGGGGUGACUGCGUACCUUUUGUAUAAUGGGUCAGCGACUUAUAUUCAGUGGCAAGGUUAACCAAAUAGGGGAGCCGUAGGGAAACCGAGUCUUAACUGGGCGUUCAGUCUCUGGAUAUAGACCCGAAACCGGGUGAUCUAGCCAUGGGCAGGUUGAAGGUUGAGUAACAUCAACUGGAGGACCGAACCGACUAAUGUUGAAAAAUUAGCGGAUGACUUGUGGCUAGGGG
rnacentral:rRNA from 2 species